rnacentral:rRNA from 1 species
AAAUUUGAAAUCUGGCCUUUUCAGGGUCCGAGUUGUAAUUUGUAGAGAGUGUUUCGGGUGAGACCACGGUCUAAGUCCAUUGGAACAUGGCGUCAUAGAGGGUGAGAAUCCCGUAUGUGACUGUGGAUCGAGCCCAUGUGAAGCCUCUUCGACGAGUCGAGUUGUUUGGGAAUGCAGCUCAAAAUGGGUGGUAAAUUUCAUCUAAAGCUAAAUACUGGCUGGAGACCGAUAGCGCACAAGUAGAGUGAUCGAAAGAUGAAAAGCACUUUGGAAAGAGAGUCAAACAGUACGUGAAAUUGUUGAAAGGGAAGCGCUUGCAACCAGACCUGCCCGUAGGUGAUCAGCCGCUGUUCUCAGUGGUGCACUCGCUCUGCGAUCAGGCCAGCAUCGGUUCUGGCGGCCGGAUAAAGGCCUUGGGAAUGUAGCUCCCUCCGGGGAGUCUUAUAGCCCUCGGUGCAAUGCGGCCAGUCGGGACCGAGGACCGCGCUUAGGCUAGGAUGCUGGCGUAAUGGUUGU